NUGUUGGGGUUUAAGUGUGCAGAGUUUAGCUCCCUCAGGCCUGACAUUUUGCAAGAGCUGUGGCUGUGAUUUAGGUCAGCUGAGGCAAACCUCAGCUAGGAGGAGGAAAAGUUCUCUUCCCCUUAUCGCAAGUCACAAGUUCUGCAUGGUUUGGCCAAGAGGAAGAAGCUUCCUGCAUACUUAUCCUGGGAACGGUACAUUCUAAAGAAACAAAUGCAUCCUCAGGGGAUUAGAUAAUGUCUACAAAGAACUUUAGGAGGGUACUUAUCAAACAAACAGGAACAAUUUGAAUCUAGCUCUGUGUAUCUGCUGAAGCAUGAUAUUUGGACAAUGUGGGUAAAGUGUUAUUGAAGAAUUGCUUGCUUUGUUAGAAGAAGUGUAUAAAAGGAACUUGCAAAUAAACUUCAGCAUGCAGUUGCGAUUGCUGCCUUGGCUCUGCAUCCCCUGUGUCCCGGUUAUUUCAUGACCCUUACCAAGGGAUCCUAACGCUCUAGAUGUUCACAACUCAGAUAGCAUGCAGGAUGGAAAAACAACACAAUAAGAACGUAUUUUCAAGAUACUUGAAACUUCCUUGAAGUAAUAAUGGGACUAAAUAAAAGAGUCUGAAGUAGGGGUAGAGAGAUAUCAAUGAUAUGAAGGGAUCUGACAUAAGAAAAACAAUUCUUCCUGGGCUUUUAAAUGAAGACAGGAAAUGUCAGCAGAGGAGUAAAUAAGUGGUAGGCAUAAGCAGUGAAAAAGGCCAAUUCUGUCACACUCAGUUUUGGAAUUAGUGACAAGAAAUAUAAUUGUCUCAUAAGCAUUUUGAAAAACAUGAUUUCAGGUAAGAAAUAUCAAGGAAUAAAUUUAAAUACAUAAAGUUAUUUCUUUAUCAGUUUUAAAGUUUCUAUUUUCCAUAGUUUCAAAUUUUCUAAUUUGUGUCUUUUUAUGUUUAUGAUACACAGUUAUGUGUAAAAUCAAACCAUAACAUGUUAGUUUAUUUUCAAAUUAAUUUUACAUAUGAUUAACUGAAAAUUGGAAAGUUAUUGCUUUUCACGUAGGGAUGCAAAUAACAAAUACCUUAUUUAUGUGUAGAAAGCCUACCAGUUUAUUGCUAUCAAAUUGAAAAGCAGAAAGUCACAGCUGAGAUCUGCUUGCCUGAAGCAGAAUUGCUGGCCCUGUAUACUGAUAGGAAAAAUAAAGUAGCAAUUUUCAAAAAUUCCUGGAGGCAGAAUGUGGACUGUAAUGAGAAUUUGAAACUCCUGGGAACUGAAAUCAUUGGAGGACCCUAUAAUUUCAUGGGUGCCACCUCUAGGAGCACCAUCAAGUUCUAUGCUAAAGAGCCAAGAAAAACCCCUCUUGCUGAAGAGGAGAAAAGCAACCAUUGAGAUUUUCAGAGUGUUCUCCACUACAGAGACCUAUAUUUGAUGAACUUCAUCAUAUCUUUCUCCCACCUGGAGAAGAGGUGUUGCUCACACUCUAGAGUAGUAUCACGUGAAAUAAGCAAAAUUCAAAAAUAAAGGAAUUUAUGAUUUCCUCUCAUAUGUGGAAACUGGAUGAUAAAAAGGAAAAGUGGAAAUCUAAAGAAAAUAUAAGAAAAACCAGUAGGGUAGAAGAAGCACAUCAGGUGGAGAGAGGAUGGAGGUGGUAAAUGUAGGUACUAGGGAAUGAAAUUGAUCAAAUUAUAUAUUGUAUAUGUAUGAAUAGGCCUCAAUUGAUACACCAUUAAAUAUAAUUAUUAUGGACCAAUAGAAAAUUUGUGAUGUAAUACUUAGUAUAAAUUUGACAAAAAUUUUUAGGCAUAAAGUACAAGUUAGGUAGAUGGUUUCUAUGCUUGGAAGAAGAAGAGGGUGGAAGAGGAGGAAAUAAAAUGUAUUUUAUUUUAUGAAAUAUAUUAUGCCCUAUGAUUAUAUAUUAUCUUACAUCUAACAUAUUUCUUUCCUAUCACACCUUUGAAAAAAUCAAGAAAACUAUGAGAUUAUUUUUUUCAAAGCAGAGCUUGAUAAAAGUUGUCAUGCAGCAGCUUAUUAAAAAUAUAUUUAAUCAUAAUAAGAUUAAUUUGAUUUAUUUCACUGUAUGAUUGACAAUUUCAGAAGUCAAAUCACAACUUUUAUAACAAGACAUUGUUUGUUAAUCAGAGCCAAGAAUGUAUUUGUGUCAACUAGAGUAAUAAAAGUGUCGAUAUUUCAUAAUGGAAAGCGCAGAAGAUUUCAUUGAAUUUCCCAAAAAUAUAGUAUUUUAUUU
rnacentral:lncRNA from 1 species